AAUUCGCCCUUAGAGUUUGAUCCUGGCUCAGGACGAACGCUGGCGGCGUGCCUAAUACAUGCAAGUAGAACGCUGAAGGAGGAGCUUGCUUCUCUGGAUGAGUUGCGAACGGGUGAGUAACGCGUAGGUAACCUGCCUGGUAGCGGGGGAUAACUAUUGGAAACGAUAGCUAAUACCGCAUAAUAUUGACUAUUGCAUGAUAGUCAAUUAAAAGGUGCAAUUGCAUCACUACCAGAUGGACCUGCGUUGUAUUAGCUAGUUGGUGGGGUAACGGCUCACCAAGGCGACGAUACAUAGCCGACCUGAGAGGGUGAUCGGCCACACUGGGACUGAGACACGGCCCAGACUCCUACGGGAGGCAGCAGUAGGGAAUCUUCGGCAAUGGACGGAAGUCUGACCGAGCAACGCCGCGUGAGUGAAGAAGGUUUUCGGAUCGUAAAGCUCUGUUGUAAGAGAAGAACGAGUGUGAGAGUGGAAAGUUCACACUGUGACGG
rnacentral:rRNA from 1 species